AACGCACAUUGCGCCCCUUGGUAUUCCAUGGGGCAUGCCUGUUCGAGCGUCAUCUAAACCCUCGAGCCCUAUGGGUGUUGUUCCGCCUUGUGCGCGACCUUCGCCUGGCUCGGUGUUGGGUGCCUGUCCCUGCUCUCCGCGCGGACUCACCCCAAAUGCAUUGGCAGCAGCCCCUCGGCUUCUCGCGCAGCACAUUGCGCAGCGGAGCGUGAGAGGCGUGCGUCCAGCAAGCAACCCCCCAAGUUUGACCUCGGAUCAGGUAGGGAUACCCGCUGAACUUAA
rnacentral:misc_RNA from 1 species